CCGAGUUUUACAAACUCCCAAAACCCCUGUGAAACAUACCACUUGUUUGCCUCGGCGGAUCAGCCCGCUCCCGGUAAAAAACGGGGACGGCCCCGCCAGAGGACCCCCAAAACUCUGUUUUCUAUAUGUAAACUUCUGAGUAAAAACCAUAAAUAAAUCAA
rnacentral:misc_RNA from 1 species